AUUGAACGCUGGCGGCAUGCCUUACACAUGCAAGUCGAACGGCAGCACGGGAGCAAUCCUGGUGGCGAGUGGCGAACGGGUGAGUAAUAUAUCGGAACGUGCCCAGUCGUGGGGGAUAACGUAGCGAAAGCUACGCUAAUACCGCAUACGAUCUAUGGAUGAAAGCGGGGGAUCGCAAGACCUCGCGCGAUUGGAGCGGCCGAUAUCAGAUUAGGUAGGUGGUGGGGUAAAGGCUCACCAAGCCGACGAUCUGUAGCUGGUCUGAGAGGACGACCAGCCACACUGGGACUGAGACACGGCCCAGACUCCUACGGGAGGCAGCAGUGGGGAAUUUUGGACAAUGGGCGCAAGCCUGAUCCAGCAAUGCCGCGUGCAGGAUGAAGGCCUUCGGGUUGUAAACUGCUUUUGUACGGAGCGAAAAGGCUUCCACUAAUACUGGGGGCUCAUGACGGUACCGUAAGAAUAAGCACCGGCUAACUACGUGCCAGCAGCCGCAGUAAAAC
rnacentral:rRNA from 1 species